AGCGAACGCUGGCGGCAGGCCUAACACAUGCAAGUCGAACGCCCCUUCGGGGGAGUGGCGGACGGGUGAGUAACGCGUGGGAAUGUGCCCUUUGGUACGGAACAACUGAGGGAAACUUCAGCUAAUACCGUAUGUGCCCUACGGGGGAAAGUUUUAUCGCCAUUGGAGCAGCCCUCGUUGGAUUAGGUAGUUGGUGGGGUAAUGGCCCACCAAGCCGACGAUCCAUAGCUGGUCUGAGAGGAUGAUCAGCCACACUGGGACUGAGACACGGCCCAGACUCCUACGGGAGGCAGCAGUGGGGAAUCUUGCGCAAUGGGCGAAAGCCUGACGCAGCCAUGCCGCGUGAAUGAUGAAGGUCUUAGGAUUGUAAAAUUCUUUCACCGGGGAAGAUAAUGACGGUACCCGGAGAAGAAGCCCCGGCUAACUUCGUG
rnacentral:rRNA from 1 species